rnacentral:lncRNA from 1 species
AGACUGCAUUUAUGGUUCAGUAUUUCAUGAUAAUUGAAUAAUUGGGAUUUUAUGAAUGUAGUAAAGAAUUUGUGAUUCUUGCAAACUGAAAGGGUUUUCUAACUCUCGUGGUAGCGAGUUUUAAAAGGAAAAAGGUUUUCGUGUGGGAAACAGUUUUUAAAAGGAUUUUCUGAUUUUCCUAAUUAUUAGUAUUUCAAAAUAAGUUUCCGAGUAGGAAACGUUUUAAACUAAUAGAUGUGGAUUUAUGAAUAAUUGUGAUGCAUUAAAUGUAAAUGUGAAUGAUGUAUGAAUAUGUGGAUGUUCAUAUGUGGUGGUUGUAUCCUGUAUUGUGAAUUCUUUGUAUCUUGUACUUGUGCGACGCCGUGCAAAUACAGGGGAGACUUUGUCCGUGUGAACAGUGGACUCCCUGUAUUUGUGGCGGAUCUGGCAUACCCUGGGGGUCAGAUUUUUUUUUU